AGCACGCGCGUGAGUGAAGAAGGUUCUUCGGCAUCGUAAAACUCUGUUGUUAGAGAAGAACACGGGUGAGAGUAACUGUUCAUCCCUUGACGGUAUCUAACCAGAAAGCCACGGCUAACUACGUGCCAGCAGCCGCGGUAAU
rnacentral:rRNA from 1 species